rnacentral:lncRNA from 1 species
GUGCCACCCGACAGACGAGUGGUACUUGCCGGGGCCACAAGGAGCCGAGUCCCGGAAGCCCGUGUCCCAGUUCUGCUGCAGUCCGCGUGCGCAACCGCCGGGAAACGCAGAAGGUGGCGUUACUUCCGCCAAGCUGUGCAGGUCAGGCCCUAGCAGCUGCAUAAACAUUUAUAGUCCUGAUCGGAUAUACGUCCGCGUAACCUCGCGACAGAUCCAUUAUAGAAUACCCGUUCUCUAGGGUUGCUUUCGUAGGGCCAGGCUGAAUUAACUGACUACCCUUUUCGCUCUAGGUUGUUUUACCAUGAGCCGUAUAUGUAUCUGCCAGGAUCGGCUGCCUAGGAGAAGCGUCCUUCUGCGAGACAUAGAGCAGUAACUCGUUUCCCGAAGCAGAGGCUCUAUCCCAGCGCCUGACCACUGCACGGGCACUCAGCUCCAGAGGCCGCCACCGCGGACACCUGCCGCUGCCGCGGGUAACUUACAAAGUUACACCCCCAACUGACGACCAAAGUGGCAAUGCCGGCUGCAACUGCGCCUGCGCCACCAGGGUUGUAAGGCACUUACCCAAGCACCCUGCAGGCAGCCACCUCUCCAUGAGUCCAGGAUGUCAAGAUAAUUCACUGCUAAAAAGGGAUGAACAAAACCAUGAACUUCAUACUUCUCCUCUGAAUAGGAAUUUCUCAGGAUAUAACCAAAAGAAACUUCAGGAGGAAAAUACUAAAUUAAAGCAUGAACUAGAAGAUUUAAGAAGUCCGUAUGAACAGCUUAUAGAAGAAGGGAAGAGUGAAUGUUUUGAUGACAGACGUGUCAGUCUUUUGAAGGCACAAGUAAUGCAGCUGGAGAGGCAGGUGGUCCUACUUACAGAAGGAUUAAGUUCUCAAGCAGUCCUUAUGCUGGAGUUAAAGAAUUUUUUAGAGUCUCUGACUGAGAAACUCUGGUAAGGAAACAGAGAAAACUUUUGUAUGUUUUGCCAUUUUCUUUGAUGAAAUUUGCCCUAAUGCUGAGGUCCUAUACCAGGCCCUGGGUGGACACUGUAAGUCCAAUGUUAAGGACUUUAAAUAUGGCAUAGGGGCUUGUUCGGGCCCUCUAUGCAGGUGUAAAUGUCACCUUUUACUUUUACUAAUAUGUGUGCCAUGGCUUUAUUCUGAGUGGAUUUAUGCCAUAGGUAAAUUAGAAUAGUGGACAUUAUCUGUCUGAAUUUUGAAGAUGAAACUUUAUUUUCCAUAGCAUUUGCUAUCCCCAUUUGCUUUUUAUCCUACAAGAAUUUGUUAUAGAAAAAAAUAGAAUGGUCUUGGGCCCAAAACAGAGUCCUUUGGGAUCUCACUUGAUUUGUCUUCUGAACUUGAUAACUAAUCAGUUGCACUUAUUUAAAAAAAUAUUUUCUGUAUAGUCAGUUGCAUAUUCAUCUUAUGCUCAAUCUGCAUUUAUCUAACUAUGGGGAGGGGCUGUGGAACAAUAUUCAAUGCCUUACUCAAGUCGAAGUAAGUUGACUUACUGAGUCAAAUUUUUAGAAUGUGGUCUCUCCUUUACUACAUGCAGCUUUUU